rnacentral:rRNA from 1 species
CAGUCGCCACGGUAAUACGGAGGGUGCAAGCGUUAAUCGGAAUUACUGGGCGUAAAGCGCACGCAGGCGGUCUGUCAAGUCAGAUGUGAAAUCCCCGGGCUUAACCUGGGAACUGCAUUUGAAACUGGCAGGCUAGAGUCUUGUAGAGGGGGGUAGAAUUCCAGGCGUAGCGGUGAAAUGCGUAGAGAUCUGGAGGAAUACCGGUGGCGAAGGCGGCCCCCUGGACAAAGACUGACGCUCAGGUGCGAAAGCGUGGGGAGCAAACAGGAUUAGAUACCCGCGUAGUCCCUGUCUCUUAUAC